rnacentral:lncRNA from 10 species
CUGGAGGAGCAAUCUGGAGUGAUGGUGAUGUGGUUUUUGACCUUCUAGACCAGAGAUUUGUACUCUUGUGACUGAAGAUAUCCUGUGGCUAUACAGAUUAACAUUGCAGAGGUUAAAUGGCAAACCUGAAUUGCAUGUAGCAAGAAACUAGGGAAUUUUUCAAGUCCAACCAAUACUCUACUGAGGACAAUGAUCUCAUCUAUAACAGCUGCCUGGCACACCAUGUCUGCCUAGACUGUUUUUCUCUAUUUUAUACCCUCUGCCCUAAGAGCCACACUGGGCUUCUCCAAAUGCUAAGAUGGGACAUUAUUUCAUCCGAUAAAAAGCCACCCAAUACCAGCAGAGGUUCAGCAAGGGGUAGACAUGGUGACCCAUAGAUGCUCUUGUCACUAUCACUGAGUAACAUAAGCCAAGCUGGAGAACAUAAAGCCACAACAUGGUACUACUAAUUGUAUGCUCUUCUUAUACUUCUUGAUUCCUAGGUCUGACCUUGCAGGGCAAAACAUCCAGAAUCAGAGUCUAAACAUUUGUCAGGUGCCACUCUGUACCUAGCACUGUCCUGGGCCUGGAAACGUCUCACAGGUUCCAGAGCCAGCUGGCCUGGGAGCUCACAGAUCUUCCUUACCACAAGAUCUUCAGUAAUUCUGCUGUCUCUCCCAUUAAAGGCCCUCAAGAGGCUGCUCCUACCAACGGCUUCCUGAGACAGUUACUUCAUGAAAAAUAUGUUAUGUGUCAAAUUAACUUCACAGUGCAGACCUCAGCUAAGCAGACCCAGGACAUCUCCCUAACGGAACUUGAAAGGCCUCUGCUUGCUUCAAUUUUGUUACUAUCCCAUUAGUCAAAGCAAAUCAAAGACUAAGCUUGAUGUCAAUUUCUGAAGGUGCCAUCAAGUAACAGUACAUAGGUGCCAAAGGCCAUGGGAGACCACAUCUUGCAUCAGCGUGACCUGGAUGUGAGACAUGGACUCAAAGGACAUCAUUUUGGAACUUUAAGGUUUAAUGGCUGCCUUAUUGAAUUUUGGACUUGCAUGGGUCCUGUAGCCCCUUUGUUUUGGCCAAUUUCUCCAAUUUGGAAUGGGUGUAUUUACUCAAUGCCUGUACCCUCAUGUGUCUAGGAAGUAACUAACUUGCUUUUGAUUUUACAGGCUCAUAGGCAGAAGAAACUUGCCUUGUCUCCGAUGAGACUUUGGACUUGGACUUUUUGGUUAAUACUGAAAUGAGUUAAGGCUUUGGAGGACUAUUGGAAAGGCAUGAUUGUGUUUUGAUAUAUGAGGAUAUGAGAUCUGGGAGAAGCCAGGGGCAGAAUGAUAUGGUUGUGCUGUGUCCCCACCCAAAAUCUCAUCUUGAAUCAUAAUCCCCAUAACCCCCAUGUAUUGAGGGUGGGACCAGGUGGAGGUAACUGGAUCACAAGGGCAGUUUCUCCCAUGCUGUUCUCAUAAUAGUGAGUGAGUCUCAUGAGAUCUCAUGGUUUUAUAGGCAUCUGGCAUUUCCCCUGCUUACAAUCAUUCUCUCUCCUGCCACCCUGUGAAGAAGUGCCUUCUGCCAUGAUUGUAAGUUUUCUGGGACCUCCCCAGCCAUGCAGAACUGUGAGUCAGUUAAGCCUCUUUUCUUUAUAAAUUACCCAGUCUCAGAUAUUUCUUAAUAGCAGCAUGAAAAUGGAUUUAUACAAUAGGACAUAGACACAAAGAGUCCAUUUAAUUGGGGUCAUUGAUGCAAUAACUGUACCACAAUGGAGAAAGAAGAAAGGAUAUGUUGGGCUGUCUUCAUAGGAUGAAUAAAUUUUUACAUGGUACAGACAGGGAAAGGAUACUCCAGGUAUAAGAGGAACAGAAAUACAGUUUCUCUGUUUUAAAGAAUAGAUUGGAAGGAAGUGAAAUACUGGAAGCUGAGAGAGCAGCUAGGAACUGUUGCAGUUGUGUAAGUAAGAAGAAACGAAAACCUGAACCAACAUGACUGAAGCAGGAAAGAAAAGAAGAGGAGAAACUGAGAGGCAUCAUGACAGCAGAAUCCAUAAGAAUGAAUUUAUCAUAGUGGGGAAGAAAGAAGAAUCAAAUAUGACCCAAAGUAGAUAUGUUGAGUGUCUGAGUUGAAGACAAUGCUAGUAACCAGGCCAUAAAAGAGAAGCAAGUUUGAAGGCAAAGAGAAAGAAUGGUUCUGUUUUUGACAUCUGUGUUUAGAGAUAACUGUGAUAGUAGUGAGGUCUAGUAGUCAUAAAGAAGAAAAUGUUCAAAGAUUAACGAACACUGUUGACAGCAGUUGUAGUAAAUUGCAAAGAGAUAUGAAUAUGGAGCUAGAACUGCUGGAGUCCCAGCUCUUCCCCUUAUUAGCUGUGUGAAAAUAUGAGGACGAAGCAGAGAAGAAAAUAUGGCAACACAGGGGGUUACAAAUUGUUCAUUUACUGAAGGUUUCGAAUUCUUGUGUUUGCUUUUACUUUAAUGCUGCCCCUUCCCUCAGCCCGCACCACCUUGUUCAUUUUAUAAAAACCAGUUGUGCCUACAAAAUUCUAGCAUGGUGGGGGAGGGAAAAGAUCUGUGUAUCCAGAGAAACAUGCAUUUCACCUACAGGUUUCUUAAACCAUUUGGUAUUUUUUUUAUAUCAACAAAUGCUGUUCAGAUAAGCUACUGCUAUAAUUUUUCCCUUAAACCUUUAAGUUACUAUAAUUUAAAAAAUAACCUUAGUUCUUUUGCAUUUAUAUUAAGACUUAUUUUUGCAUUAUUAUUUCAUCAGGAAAAACUUGACUCAAAUAACUUUUAGAUAUGAUUUCCAAAAGGUGACUGAUUUGGUAAAUGUGAUUUUAUUGGAUUUGUAUGCUAAAAAGUGUUCCAGAGAAAGACAUGGACAAUUUCAUAUUGAAAGUGUAUGGAAAAGCAGAGGGUCAGUGUACCAAACAUUGCCUCCACGAACCACCUUCAGUAAUGUCCCUACUAUAGAAAUUUAGGUUAAGUCUAUGGGGGACAGGGUGCAAAAUUACUAAGGAGUCUUUGGGGUAACCAAGUCAAGGCAGGCCAGUCAUAUUCCUGAACAGGACUAAAAUUGAGUUAGGUUUGAGAGAGCAGAGAGAUGUAGAUUGAAUGAGAGAGAGAAAGCAAUGCAGAAGAAGGACUGGCAAAGGAGAUGGUUCAUUAUGAUGAUCAGCAGGUGUUUGCAACUGGAACCAAGAGUGGAUGGAGGGCAAAAUCCUGAGACCAUCCAUAGCUCCCUGGACUAACCUUUGAAGAUCACACUCAUUAGCUCGGCCUUUACAGCCUUCCUGGGCUUGUCCCUUACCUCUCCAAGCUUCUCCUCCUUACUCCAGCCAGAUAGGACUACCUAUUAUCCUACGAGCCCACUACACCUCAGAACUAGAGUUGCCAUCAGCCAAAAUGUAGGGGGCAGACAAUGGAGAAUUCAGUCCUCAUCACUGGUUGUGCAGUAGUGUCUCCUGUGAUGUUUUGUCAGCCUUGUUGUUUGUUUUCAAUGUAUCUGUCCUCCUGCCCAAAAGAGAGAAGACAGAUAUAUUAAAUUCCUUGGCAUCAGACUCUAAGUCUAAUGCAAGUUUGUGGAGACAAUAAUGAAGAAAAUCAACAUUUGUUUUGAGGAUAAUUUUAGUAAGUCCAAUAAUGAUUGACACCCCCCUACAGAAACGUGACACACAGGUCACAGAAAGUGUCACAUGUUUCUCCUGCAGGUGGCAGAUUAAUGACUUUUUGAAAGCUGCCAUCUUCAAGACGCUGCAAAAAGUAUCCUAGCCAGACAUCACAAAAGAAUAAAAGUCAAUGAUCCUCUCCCAAUCUUUUAGCAUCAGCAGAGGCAUGCUUGGGCUGUGACUCAGUUAUAUUUGCUGUGAGGCUGUGUUCUAAAGAAGGAACAUUAGGCUCCUGUUCUCUUUUUUAAAGGUAUUAACAUGAGAACGGCCCUGUAAGCAGGACAAAACAACAGACCAAAUUUGGUUUCCAAAUAGUCUGCAUGUAGGUACUAGCCAGCUUUUUAUAGGAAUUGCUCAGAAGACAAUCUGCAAAGAUGAAUGCAAGGGAAGCCCUUUCCACUGAAAGAAAGGUGUUGCUGAGUGUCCUGAAGACCACCCUCAGGUUCAAGGAAUUGCUAGAAGGACUCACAGAAUUCAGAAAAGCUAUUAUCCUCACUGUUACAGUUGAUUACAGCAAAAGGAUACAGAUUAUAGGGCAGAGUCCAGGGGAGACCAGGCACAAGCUUCCAGUGGUCCUCUCCCAGUGGAGUUGUAUGGAUAGCACUUAAUUCUCCCAGUAAUAAUGUGUGACAAUGUGUAUACAGAGUAUUGCCACGCAGAGAAGCUCAUCAAGACUUAGUGUCAGAGUUUUACUGGGGGUCAGUCAUGUAGACAUGGAGCACCAGUGUGGCUGAGCUUAGUUACUCAACCUCCAGCACCUCUAGAGGUUAAACUGAUACUGUACAGCCCAAGGCCCCCAUCAUAAAUCACAUUGUGAAUAUAAACCAUCUGGUAUGGUUCAAGGCCACAGGUGAACAAAGAUAUUCAUGUCAAGCAGGAUAUUUCAAGGGCUUAGAGUUUAUCUCCCAAGAGCUGGACAAGGGCAGAGCCUUUUUUGAAAUGUGCAGGGUUUGGACAUCCCAGUCCUGCUGAGUCAAACCUUUACUGCACAGAAGGGAGCAACGUGGGGUAUACCUUCAGGACCAUUCACUGGACAAUUCUGCUUUUCUUUCCACAAAGGGAAGGGAGCUCAGCUCUGGGGACUCUCACAUUCCUUACUCUUAUAGUGAAAGUCAAAAGUGAAAUCCAAUCAUACAUAGCUUUGAGUUUCCCAUUUUAUGUGCAAAUAAAGCACAAUAUUUACAAUCUCACAUAUUAUAAUAGAAUCUAAUAUAUACACUAGAAAACAAGAAUGAAAACCCGUCUUUCAGUAUUUUCUAUGCUAAUUAACCUUCUACUAAACAUUUUGAAAAGUUAAGAAAUAAUCUUUAGCCUUGAAAUACUCUUUAGCUUUUGUAUUUUCCUUCCUCCUUCUGUGCACUUGGCUAUCAAAUACUUGUUAAAAUAUAUAGGAAUAUUGUGUUGAACUUUUGUGAGUAAUCAAAUGCAAGCCAAAACAUCUUAAUUCUCCCAAAAAGAGACUCAUAUAAUAUAUACAUAAGAAUCCUGUCCCUCAGAUUACACUCUGUGAAAUCUCUGUUAUUUUUUGACACAAAACUCUAAAGACCUUUAUCUGUCUUUUUGCCUGCCUACUUUAAAAUAGUUGCAAAUUAGAUCUGUGCUCUUUGAUUCAGGUUGAUUUUUGGGCAUCUGUAUUUAAUUCUUUCACUAAAGGGCAAAGGCAGCUUCUAGAUAUGCUAAGAAUCCUUUCUUUUUAUGGGUGGAGAGAAAAACAGUCUGCAACACUAGAAGAACUAAAUAAGGAUGGGAGGUUUGCAUGGAACCUGGACUCUCCCACACUGUACCCAAGCCCAUGCCAAAUUUGUACAGGUGUGCACCACAUGAACAGAUGAGCAAGUGUGAUGAGAAGAGCUCUCAGGAUCUGACUGAGCCCAUAAUGAUGCAUUUCUCCCAAGGUGGACCUAAGCAUCUGUUAUGUACUUGAAGUAUUUGUUUACUUGAUAGCAAAAGGGUACUUAAACUGCUAAGCUUAUACCCUAUUAGGGAUUAUGGGGAUUUUUGUUGUUGUUGCAGUUGUUGUCUUUUUCUUAAAGAAAAAGGACACAAUGAGAUGACACAUCAGGGGUGUCAAUGUAAAGGGAGUACUGAGCCCACUAGAAGGAGCACAGGAUUUGUGGUGUUCUAACACUCAGAAUAUUACGGUGAUUAUAUCACCACAAUUUUGUUCUGGGAACACCUCGUUACUUGGGAGGAAUGUUAAAAUUGUAAAGGUUAUUUAAUGUGGCUUUUAUAAUAAGAUUUUUGAAGAGAAAAAAUGUUUAUUUGGAGAAUAAGUAUAUGAAGGUUGUUCCCCACUCCAGAUCCUGGAUAUUCUUAAAGGUAUUUCCUCAGUAAUCCUCAUGCUAUAGAUUUUUUGCUCUCCUACCAACUUUGCAGGCUCCUGAAUCUGAUUUUGUCCCAUCUAAUUUUCCACUCAUUUGACAAAUGGCUUUUAGUGCCAGACAUUCAAUUAAUCCCUGCCCCCAUGGAGCUUUAAUUCAGAUAGGCAAAACAGACCAUUAAUAUAAUAUAUAUACAAAUUCAGUAUGUUAGAAUGAGAUGAGUGUUAUAGAGAAAACUAAAACAAGAUGAAGGCACUGAGAAAGUGCCAAGGGAUUGAACCAAAACUUUUCUUUCUCGUGUUCCUCCUUUGUACUUCCCAGCUAUUCUCAUGUGCUGAUUCAGUUUGAUUUGUUGCCGGGAUAAAGUACAUCCUACCUCUUUCUCCCUUGCCUUCUUACUGUGUGUACAAUGUGCC